rnacentral:rRNA from 1 species
KSCCUUAGAGUUUGAUCCUGGYUCMKAACGAACGCUGGCGGCGWGCUUAACACAUGCAAGUCGAACGUGAUUGASAGCUUGCUCUCAUGAAAGUGGCSCACGGGUGAGUAACACSUGGAUAAUCUGCCUGGCGAUUCGGGAUAACACUKCGAAAGGGGUGCUAAUACCGGAUAAGCCUACGGACUCCUCGGAGUUUGCAGGAAAAGAUGGCCUCUAUUUAUAAGCUAUCGUAUCAGGAUGAGUCCSCGUACCAUUAGCUAGUUGGUGGGGUAAUGGCCUACCAAGGCUACSAUGGUUAGCUGGUCUGAGAGGAUGAUCAGCCACACUGGAACUGAGACACGGUCCAGACUCCUACGGGAGGCAGCAGUGGGGAAUUUUGCGCAAUGGGGGAAACCCUGACGCAGCAACGCCGCGUGAGUGAUGAAGGCUUUCGGGUCGUAAAGCUCUGUCAGAGGGGAAGAAAUGGAACGUGCUAAUAUCACGUUUUCUUGACGGUACCCUCAAAGGAAGCACCGGCUAACUCCGUGCCAGCAGCCGCGGUAAUAC